CGUUGGCUACGCCUUAAGGGCGCGCCCGCAGCGCGGUGCGGGGGGCGAGCGGUUGGGCCUGGCGGGCGGCGGCGAGGCGGGUGGGCGCCUCCCGGAGCGCGAGAGAACUUUAACCCGCCCAGUUCGGAGUUGAGAAUUGCUAGCGCUCCUCCCCCGGCUUGAGAAGAGGGAGAGCAGGGAAGGACAGUGAAGGACCCGGUGCCUAACCUUGAAUUUUAUGAUACAUUCACUUAGGGGUUCGAAACAUACUAGUUUUGCUCCACAAGUCGCCGCCAGGGCGGCCACCGAACCCCUCCGGCCCCCUUGGAGGCCAGCUAGUGCUACGUUGGGCGGGGUCCGUGUGGACGCGCCACUUGAACAGUGGGGACAAUCUGCAUCAUCACGAAUGUCCUCCCGCUUAGGGCUUUUUUGGAAAGUCUCUCUCGAAGGUCUGAGUGGGGAGACCCGGGCGUAAAGGCCUCCAGCCAGGAGCCAGGGGCUCCCCCAUCCCCACCACCCCUUGUGACCCCAUGAGAGCGCUGCGCGGACCAGCGCCCGGAGGUCUGUGAGGACCGCGUGGGAGGCCGCGCCCCGCAGUCUCGGUCUCCCAGCGCGGGUCAGGACCCGCUGCAGUUGUUUUCGUGCCCCACGAGUCGCGGCGAGAAGGGCGCAAUGUCAAGAUCGUACUUCCAGCCGAGCCGGCGAGCCAGGGCCUGCUCCCGCCUCCCGCUGGGGAGGCGCCGGGCCCAGCCGAGGGCGUGCUUCUCGGGAUUCGCGCCGCAUGGUCGGCCUGGGGGUUGGGAGAGAGGGCAGCAAACAAGAUCUUUCUCCGGAUGGGAAGCCCCCUUUCGCGCCAAAGCGGGUCGGGUAAACAGGCCACGCGAACGUUCCAUGGAACUGGAAGCCCGGGGACAGUGCUGGCAGCCUCCUACGCCGACCAAACAGGAGCCCUGUCACCAAUAAUGGACAUGCUGAAGAUGCAAAAUGGAGAUGAGAGGCCCUGGAGGAUGAGAAGUCACAUGGAGGAGAACUGAGGCAUGUCAGCCAACAGCCAGCACCAAAGGCUGGCCAUAUGCCAAAGAGGACUCACAAGGAGCUUGCCAGACAGACCCAGCUUUAGCGAAGGAAAGUGCUUACAAAGCAAGGAAAGGAAGAAGCAGUUCUUCUGAGGACUUAAAUUAAUGUUAAAAAGAAAGAAAAGAGUUGACAAGCAAUUUUCAGGGUAUGCAUGAUGCUUCCAGUUGUCUUUCUGAAAGCCUUGCCUGCUGGUGCCCCAAUGUCCCCAAGGCACUCCCACAUAAUUUGCUGUCACUGGCCAUGCAAAUAUUUUUUGAAAUCGCAUCUCAAACCCAGACUCACAAACAGGUGCCUUUUAGUGCAAUCAGGAUAAAAUACACAUGUGGCUAUUAUUCUCUUGCUUUGAAAAGGUGAUGAAGGGCAUAAGGGACUAUCAGGCGAGGCCAUCCCAUCCUUGGGUAAAUUGCCAUGAGCCCCUUUGUGGAUCCAGACCCUCCCUUUGUUUGAGAUCCAGUAUGUGAUCCUGCAGAUGACUGACAAGGGCAGACUUGUAACAACAUUAUUUCAGGAGGAUAAUAACCAACCAUCAUAAAUUCCUUUUUUAAUAGUUUAUUGCAGGUUGUAGGCUAUUAACCAUGACUUUAUUUUACAACACCAAAGAAAGUAGUAGUUCCUUCUUGCUGCUAGUCUCUAAAACCACUGUAAGACAUUAUAGUACCCUUAGAGAAAACCUGGCCUUUCAUGAAAUGAAUCAUAAAUAGCUGAGUUAAGAGAACGACUGACUGUUAAAGAGGAAAAGCGAGGAAGGAAAGAGAAAAA